CCCUUAGAUGUUCUGGGCCGCACGCGCGCUACACUGACGAAGUCAGCGAGCAUGUCCUACGCCGACAGGUGCGGGGAAUCUUGUCAAACUUCGUCGUGAUGGGGAUUGAUUAUUGAAAUUCUUGAUCAUCAACGAGGAAUUCCUGGUAAGCGCAAGUCAGCAGCUUGCGUUGAUUACGUCCCUGCCCUUUGUACACACCGCCCGUCGCUACUACCGAUUGAAUGGUUUAGUGAGAUCUUCGGAUUGGCGCCACUGCGGCUCAGCAAUGGGCUCGGUGGAUGCCGAAAAGUUGAUCAAACUUGAUCAUUUAGAGGAAGUAAAAGUCGUAACA
rnacentral:rRNA from 1 species